rnacentral:rRNA from 1 species
AAUCCAUAGGUUAAUGAGGCGAACCGGGGGAACUGAAACAUCUAAGUACCCCGAGGAAAAGAAAUCAACCGAGAUUCCCCCAGUAGCGGCGAGCGAACGGGGAGGAGCCCAGAGCCUGAAUCAGCAUGUGUGUUAGUGGAAGCGUCUGGAAAGGCGCGCGAUACAGGGUGACAGCCCCGUACACAAAAGCGCAUGUGCUGUGAGCUCGAUGAGUAGGGCGGGACACGUGGUAUCCUGUCUGAAUAUGGGGGGACCAUCCUCCAAGGCUAAAUACUCCUGACUGACCGAUAGUGAACCAGUACCGUGAGGGAAAGGCGAAAAGAACCCCGGCGAGGGGAGUGAAAAAGAACCUGAAACCGUGUACGUACAAGCAGUGGGAGCACCCUUUGGGGUGUGACUGCGUACCUUUUGUAUAAUGGGUCAGCGACUUAUAUU